GGGCUUCAAAACCGGCGCGCCUGCCUCUAUAUUCGGUAGGCCGGCCGCGAGGUCGGCUAUGGCGAUAAACGUUCUUCGCAAUAAACCUAUCGGACCCGGGGGCGGUACCCGGCGCCUCCACCCAAGCCCAGCCCGUUCCGGCGGGCUGGGCUUCGGCGGGGGCGAAAUAGGAUCGACGAGGGCGUAAAGGUUGGACUUUCGCUCGGCAUGGUUCCGCCGUUAUCGGGCCAAUGCAAUAGUUGCCAACGACAACUAUGCUCCGGUGGCGGUCGCCGCGUAAGCGGUGCCCAAGACCAAACAAAGUCCUAGCGGUUAGCAUCGCAUAGGCGGGGUUCGGAGGCACCUGGCAACAGAAGCCUCCACU
rfam:Methylobacterium sp. 4-46, complete genome.